rnacentral:rRNA from 1 species
UGGGGAAUUUUGGACAAUGGGCGCAAGCCUGAUCCAGCCAUGCCGCGUGCGGGAAGAAGGCCUUCGGGUUGUAAACCGCUUUUGUCAGGGAAGAAAUCUUCUGAGUUAAUACCUCGGGAGGAUGACGGUACCUGAAGAAUAAGCACCGGCUAACUACGUGCCAGCAGCCGCGGUAAUACGUAGGGUGCAAGCGUUAAUCGGAAUUACUGGGCGUAAAGCGUGCGCAGGCGGUUUUGUAAGACAGAGGUGAAAUCCCCGGGCUCAACCUGGGAACUGCCUUUGUGACUGCAAGGCUUGAGUGCGGCAGAGGGGGAUGGAAUUCCGCGUGUAGCAGUGAAAUGCGUAGAUAUGCGGAGGAAUACCGAUGGCGAAGGCAGCCCCCUGGGCCAAUACUGACGCUCAUGCACGAAAGCGUGGGGAGCAAACAGGAUUAGAUACCCUGGUAGUCCACGCCCUAAACGAUGUCAACUAGUUGUUGGGGAUUCAUUUCCUUAGUAACGUAGCUAACGCGUGAAGUUGACCGCCUGGGGAGUACGGUCGCAAGAUUAAAACUCAAAGGAAUUGACGGGGUCAUAGCUGUUUCCU